ACACUCUGAUCUCUCUUCAAGUGACGAAUAAGUCCUUCGCCUUUUACUAAAGAUUUCCAUGGAGAGGGAUACUCUAAUGAGUCUAAAGAAAAUUUUUGUUGUAACAGAAGUUUAUCUUAC